UACGUAGGGUGCAAGCGUUGUCCGGAAUUAUUGGGCGUAAAGAGCUCGUAGGCGGUUUGUCGCGUCUGCUGUGAAAACCCGGGGCUCAACCUCGGGCCUGCAGUGGGUACGGGCAGACUAGAGUGCGGUAGGGGAGAUUGGAAUUCCUGGUGUAGCGGUGGAAUGCGCAGAUAUCAGGAGGAACACCGAUGGCGAAGGCAGAUCUCUGGGCCGUAACUGACGCUGAGGAGCGAAAGCAUGGGAGCGAACAGG
rnacentral:rRNA from 1 species